AGCAUAUCAAUAAGCGGAGGAAAAGAAACCAACAGGGAUUACCUCAGUAACGGCGAGUGAAGCGGUAACAGCUCAAAUUUGAAAUCUGGCUCUUUCAGGGUCCGAGUUGUAAUUUGUAGAAGAUGCUUCGGGUGUGGCUCCGGUCUAAGUUCCUUGGAACAGGACGUCAUAGAGGGUGAGAAUCCCGUAUGUGACUGGUUGCCUUCGCUCAUGUGAAGCUCUUUCGACGAGUCGAGUUGUUUGGGAAUGCAGCUCUAAAUGGGUGGUAAAUUUCAUCUAAAGCUAAAUAUUGGCCAGAGACCGAUAGCGCACAAGUAGAGUGAUCGAAAGAUGAAAAGCACUUUGGAAAGAGAGUUAAACAGUACGUGAAAUUGUUGAAAGGGAAGCGCUUGCAACCAGACUUGCACGCCGUCGAUCAUCUCAGGUUCUCCUGGGUGCACUCGGCGGUGUUCAGGCCAGCAUCGGUUUCGGUGGUUGGAUAAAGGCCUUGGGAAUGUGGCUCCUCUCGGGGAGUGUUAUAGCCCUCGGUGCAAUGCAGCCUACCGGGACCGAGGACCGCGCUUCGGCUAGGAUGCUGGCGUAAUGGUUGUAAGCGACCCGUCU
rnacentral:rRNA from 1 species